GACGGAGGGGGCAAGCGUUGUCCGGACUCACUGGGCGUAAAGGGUGCGUAGGCGGUUUGGAGCGUUCGCGCUGAAAUCACACGGCUUAACCGUGUGGCGCGUGCGAAUACGACCAGCUGGAGGCAUGGAGAGGAUGGGGAACUCCUGGUGUAGUGGUGAAAUGCGUAGAGAUCAGGAAGAACACCCGUGGCGCAAGCGCCA
rnacentral:rRNA from 1 species